GAUGAACGCUGGCGGCGUGCCUAAUACAUGCAAGUCGAGCGAACGGACGAAAAGCUUUCCUGUCUGACGUUAGCGUCGGACGGGUGUGUAACAUGUGGAUAAACUACCUUUAAGAAUGGGAUAAAUUAGGGAAACCGGAACUAAAUACGGCUUAACUUCUCAACCGCAAGGUUGAAAAGUGUAAGACGGUCUUGCUGCCAAUUUUACAUGGAUCCGCUCUGCAUUAGCUAGUUGGAAAGGUAACGGCUUACCAAGGCAACGAUGCAUAGCCGACCUGAGAGGGUGACCAGCCACACUGGAACUGAGACACGGUCCAGACUCCUACGGGAGGCAGCAGUAGGGAAUCUUGCGCAAUGGGCGAAAGCCUGACGGAGCAACGCCGCGUGAGUGAUGAAGGUCUUCGGAUCGUAAAACUCUGUUAGUAGGGAAGAACAUAGGUGUAAGUAACUGUGCACAUCUUGACGUUACCUAAACAGAAAGCCACGGCUAACUACGUG
rnacentral:rRNA from 1 species